CCACUGCUAUUGGUUGGAUCAGACCAUGCUAACCUGAUUACAGCCCCAGAGCUAGGCCCCGCUGGUGGACCAGCAACAGUGCAUACUCAGCUCGGCUUGGCCCUCCAGGGACCGGAUGGACUCCCGCAGUAUCAGGUUCGAGCACAGCAGUGUCUGUGGGCUGCAGUUGGUCCAACAACCAGUGACGACAUCUACCAACAUGUAGAAUACAUCUACCAACAUGUAGAAUGCCUGUGGCAGUUGGAUAUGCUGCCAUAUCGAAGUGAUAAACUGGUAACAAGAUCUUGGCAAGACCAAGAAGCGGUGGGAACCCUGGAGGCCAAGACCGAAAGAGUGACAAUCAGUUACCUCCCCCCUCCGGAUCCAAGAUGCAUCACCCUUAAGGGCUUCAAAGGAAGCACUGAUGCCGAACCUCAGAAGUACUGGAAAGUGGCUGUGUUCGAGGCAGGGGUACCUCUCUGAACCAGCAGCUACUCCCAGGACCUAUCCUUGGCCCAUCUUUACUGGAAGUGCUCCUGUGGUUCCGGCAGCAUUCAGUCACCAUCAGUGGCGACAUUAAGGCCAUGUUCCACCAGGUCAGGCUGUUGCAUGAGGAUAGGCCCUUACAAUGAUUUAUAUGGAGGAACAUAUGGAGAGAAGACCCACCAGACAUCUAUGAAUGGCAGAUUUUACCAUUUGGCACCACCUGCAGCCCAUGUUGUGCAAUUGUUGCUGUCCAAAAGCAUGUGAGCUGGAAACAAGGACAUACUGCAGUCAGUGGAGUAGUGCUUUUAUGUGGACAAUUGUCUGCAGAGCCUGACAUCAGCUCAGUCUGCUCAACAUCUCAUAGACAAAAUGCAAGAACUGCUGGCUGCAGGUGGUUUCGAGAUUCAGCAGUGGGCCAGUAAUUGGCCUGCCAUUGUGGAGCAUCUCCCAACAGCUGCAUGUUCUGCAAACAUAGUUGUGGCUCACUCACACCGACCCACAGGAGCCAGCUCUAGGAUUAAAGUGGCACUAUCCCACAGAUGUGCUGGGCUACAAGCACAAACCUCAAGAUCAGCACACCCCAACAAUUAGGAACAUAUAUAUGGUCCUAGCUACCCAUUGUGAUCCAAGCAGAGGAACUGGGAUGACCCGAACCUCCCUGUUGACUUUCUGCAAGCCUGGACAGCAUCGGAGCAAGAGGUCUCCAAUCUCAGCAGCAUCACAUUUCCCCGGUGUUAUGUUCCCUUGGAGAUGGACACUAAAGAGGCAGUGUAUGAGUGCCACAUCUUCUGUGAUGCCUCUGAAGUAGCCUAUGGUUCAGUGGCCUAUGUUGUUGUGAAGCACAAGACAUCAUCCAUACCGCCUUUGUCAUGGCAUGAUCCAGAGUGGCCCCCAGGCAUCAACUGUCAAUUCCACGCUUAGAGCUCUGUGCAGCAUUGACGGGAGCCCAACUUGCCAGCCAAGGAGCUUACUCUACUCAUCCGACAGACUACUAUGUGGACUGACUCGACCACCUUCCUGACGUGGUUACUGAUUCUUGACGGUUCAAGGUUUUUGUUGGGACAAAGGCAGCAAAGGUGCAUGCGUUGACUGACCUGUGUUCCUGGAGAUAUGUGGAUUCAUCUGAUAAUCCAGCAGAUGACAUUAGUAGAGGGAAAUGCUUGGCAGACCUGGCCAGGUAAAGCCCAUGGAAUCAGGGGCCUCCCUUCCUUUACAGCACACCAGAGCAGUGGCCAGCAAUCCCCAAAUCUGCUGUGCUGUGGUGUUGCUGCGCAACAGGCCAAUCCUAGCCUGCCAGAUGUCACACAGUUCAUCUCUUGGAAGGCACUGGUGGCGACUACCUUGCACAUCCUCCACAGGAAGGUGGCUUCAGAUGACCAUGCUCCAAAGACAGACUGAGAGAGAGGCUGAGGCUUUACUCUUAAGAAGCUGUCAGGAGGACUGUUUCCCCGAGGAGAUGAAAGCCCUUGCAGCUGGGAAGCCAGUCUCACCCAGCAAUCAUCUUGCUGCACUCAUGCCCGAAUUUGACAAGGCCUCAGGUCUGAUCCAAGUAGGUGGUAGGCUCAGACGCAUGGAAGGUCCAAGCACAAUUGACAUUCAUCCGGUCGUCUUGGAUCCCCAUCAUGCCAGCACCAGACUACUCAUUAGGGAGUUUGACGAGCUCCUUCUCCAUCUGGAUCCUGACAGGGUUUCUGCCAAGAUGCAAUGACAGUAUUGGGUCCUGUGGGGCAGACAGGCAAUUAAGCAAUACCAAAGAACCUGUGCAAAAUGCCAGCGAUGGAGGGCUAAGCCUGUGACACCUAUCAUGGCCGUCUUACCACCAGCUCACCUAAGGCUCUAUCAGCCCCUCUUCUUUUCCACCAGCGUUGAUUGUUUUGGGCCAUUCAUGGUCAAGUUGGGCCACUGCACGGAGAAAUGAUGAGGAGUCAUUUUUAAAUGCCUCACCACCAGCUGCGUACACCUAGACCUCUUUAACAGUCUAGAUGUCGACACUUUCUUGCUGGCCUUACAGAGGUUCACAGUCAGGUGAGGGCAGCUAUCUGGAAUUCUCUCUUAUCAGGGAACAAAUUUCCAUGGUGUGGAGAGAAAGCUGAGAGAGUCCUAUGCAGCCAUAGAGCUACAGACUGUGACAAAUAGCAGACCAUCAGAUCACCUUCAAGCUUAAUCCACCUAAUGCUCCUCAUUUCGGUGGCGCAUGGGAGCGCGAGAUUAGAUCAGUUAAGAAUGCAAUCCGAGUGGUCAUUGGAAGUCAGUUGGUUUCGGAAGAUGUUCAUGGUUUUGGUGGAGGCUGAGUACAUCCUGAAUGCCAAGCCCCUAGGGUACACAUCCUCAGACAUCACAAAUGUGGACCUGGUGACACCCAAUAUGCUCCUCAUGGGGCCGCGGGAUGCCACACUACCUCAAGUCACCUAUGUACCGGAGCCACUGACCAGACGCCAUUGGCACCAUAGCCAGACCAUCUCUGACCACUUCUGGUCCCACUUCACACGCCACUAUCUCCCUGCAUUGCAAGGUCGCUCCAAGUGGCAAUGACAGGUUGAUGACUUACCUGGAUUCUGUGGUUAUGAUAUCGGACCCACAACUGCCACGUGCACAUUGGCCAGUAGGCAGGAUUGUUAAACUCAUACCAAGCGCAGAUGGACACAUCAGAUAUACUGAAACGAAGGUCCAGAACCACAGUUACCUCCGGCCUGUUGCUCAUCUCAUUCGACUCCCAUCCAUUCCAGAUGAAGAUACUCAAGCUGCAUCACCUUAGGGAAUUUAAUUGUUGCACAUGAGCUUAACUCAUGUGGGAACAGCUGUACAAAAUUCCCCAGUCAGGCAUAGUUAGGGCAGCCUACCCCGCUGUUGGGUCCUACCUGGGUCCUGAGCUGUGUUGCCGGCAUACUGUAGUAGCCUUGUUCUGAGUUGAGUCAUGGUAUGCAUGAAGUAAGUGCUGCUAAUUGUUCUUACCUGUUAAUUUCUUACACAAUUCAUGGUGUAUAGCUCAUAUAUUGUGCUUCAAAUUUAGAUUGUGGAGUAUUAUCACAGAUAAUUGUGAAUUACGUUGGUAGACAUUAUAUUCGGGCUACAAAUAAACUAGUCAGCAAGCUGCAUGUUAACUACCCAGUUCAUUUGCAUUGUCAAAGUACACUAUUCAUUUGUAUUGAAAUACAUUGUUUAAUUGUAUUGAAGGGAAACAUUUCUUGAUAUUGUGUUAGUAAUUACUCAUAGUGACUUACAUAUAAUAGCUGCAAUAUUCAUUGACAGCAGAAUUAAUAUGUUCUAUCACACUGUUGGCUGUAUAUUUAAUUUCUGUUCUAUUGUUAUGCCUGUAUUGCAGAAACCAUAUCAUAAGCUCAACUUCAGUAAACAGUUGAAUGGCA